GACGAACGCUGGCGGCGUGCUUAACACAUGCCAGUCGAACGGAAAGGCCCUGCUUUUGUGGGGUGCUCGAGUGGCGAACGGGUGAGUAACACGUGAGUAACCUGCCCUUGACUUUGGGAUAACUUCAGGCAACUGGGGCUAAUACCGGAUAGGAGCUCCUGCUGCAUGGUGGGGGUUGGAAAGUUUCGGCGGUUGGGGGUGGACGCGCGGCUUAUCAGCUUGUUGGUGGGGUAGUGGCUUACCAAGGCUUUGACGGGUAGCCGGCCUGAGAGGGUGAACGGCCACAUGGGGCCUGAGAUACGGAGCAGACUGGAACGGGAGGCAGCGGGGGGGAAUAUGACACAAUGGGCGGGAGCCUGAUGAGGAAAUGCCGCGUGCGGGAUGAAGGCUUUCGGGUUGUAAACCGCUUUAGCCUGUGACGAAGCGUGAGUGACGGUAAUGGGUAAAGAAGCACCGGCUAACUACGUG
rnacentral:rRNA from 1 species